rnacentral:rRNA from 1 species
AGCGAACGCUGGCGGCAGGCUUAACACAUGCAAGUCGAGCGGGCAUCCUUGUGGUGUCAGCGGCAGACGGGUGAGUAACGCGUGGGAACGUGCCCUUCGGAUCGGAAUAACUCAGGGAAACUUGAGCUAAUACCGGAUACGUGCGAGAGCAGAAAGGUUUAUCUGCCGAAGGAUCGGCCCGCGUCUGAUUAGCUAGUUGGUGAGGUUACGGCUCACCAAGGCGACGAUCAGUAGCUGGUCUGAGAGGAUGAUCAGCCACACUGGGACUGAGACACGGCCCAGACUCCUACGGGAGGCAGCAGUGGGGAAUAUUGGACAAUGGGGGCAACCCUGAUCCAGCCAUGCCGCGUGAGUGAUGACGGCCUUAGGGUUGUAAAGCUCUUUUCUCCGGGACGAUAAUGACGGUACCGGAGGAAUAAGCCCCGGCUAACUUCGUG